rnacentral:rRNA from 1 species
UACGAAGGGGGCUAGCGUUGCUCGGAAUUACUGGGCGUAAAGGGCGCGUAGGCGGAUACUUAAGUUAGAGGUGAAAGCCCAGGGCUCAACCCUGGAACAGCCUUUAAUACUGGGUAUCUUGAGUUCGGGAGAGGUGAGUGGAACUCCGAGUGUAGAGGUGAAAUUCGUAGAUAUUCGGAAGAACACCAGUGGCGAAGGCGACUCACUGGCCCGAUACUGACGCUGAGGCGCGAAAGCGUGGGGAGCAAACAGGG